rnacentral:rRNA from 1 species
UACAGAGGGGGCAAGCGUUAUUCGGAAUUAUUGGGCGUAAAGGGCGCGUAGGCGGCAUCGCAAGUGGAAGGUGAAAUCCCUCGGCUUAACCGAGGAACUGCCCUCCAAACUGCUUCGCUUGAGACCGGGAGAGGUGAGUGGAAUUCCCAGUGUAGCGGUGAAAUGCGUAGAUAUUGGGGGGAACACCAGUGGCGAAGGCGGCUCACUGGACCGGUACUGACGCUGAUGCGCGAAAGCGUGGGGAGCAAACGGG